AAAGAAAUGAAAUCUCUAGAGAAGACUAUGCAAUCCUUAAAAAAGAUUGAAGAAAUAAAAGCCAUGGAAAGCAAAGUCUUUGAAUCCAUAACAACAGCUGUAACACACAGAGACAUUGACUCUCUCUACAAUGAGAUAAAGAAUACUGAUGUGCGAAACUGUCAGGA